rnacentral:lncRNA from 1 species
GCGGAAGUUGCAGUGAGCCGAGAUUGCGCUACUGCAUUCCAGCCCGAGUGACAGAGCGAGACUCCAUCUUAACAACAACAACAAGACAAACGCACAAGAUUUGGGGACUCAGCCAGGCCGGGGUUUGGUUCUUGGUUCUGUCACUUGCUAGCUCAGUGGCUUUUGGCAAGUCAGUUUAUCUGCAGCUUCGUUGCUACCUCUACAUUAUGGAGAUGAAAGUGUCCACCUCCAAGUGUGGUUUUGAAGAUUCAAUGAGAUAAUGUGAAUAAAGUGUGUAGCGAAGUGUUUGGCACAAAGCUAAUAUUGAGUCAUUUAUUAUUACCACGGACAUUAAUAAUCAGAGGAAAAUAAGUUUUAAAGGUAAAACUUCUUUUGCGAGAAACCCUCAUGGACACAGGCAGCGGAGUGGCGAAGCGAUCCCUGAGGUCAGGUUCUGAGUUCAGAACCAGGGCAAAGCACAGAGCAAGCGGCACUCAAGUCUUCCCAGUGAAGAUGCUUUUGGUUGCAAGGAGCAGAAACUCUCUCACUGAGCUGGAGUCCUGAAUUCGUUAUGAUAUCAGGUCCACAGCAUCCCAGCGGUGAGUGCCUGUGUUACAUGUCCUCACUUCGGCCACGUGCCGAGGCCCAAUUCCUGCGGGUUCUGAUUGGCCAGCUCGAGUCAGGUGUCCAUCCACGGUCCAAUCAGAUAUGACCAAGGGGGGCCAGGGCCACACUACAAACAUGGCUUCAGGGGGACCAGGGAACAAAGCUGGGGCCUGGCA